GGAAGAACAGUUAGUUACCUGUGCAUUCACGAGGACAGUUGUUGCCAUGUUGGUGAUUGAUUGAAGCAAUCUGAUGAUCUCUUCUUCUGCAUCUCUUGAGAAUUUUCUUGAGCUUCUUGAAGCCAACGCCAGGUAGAUUCUUCUUCUCCUUUUGUCCUUGCAUGUACUCCUCAUACUUCUUACAGAACUUCAUUUCUCCAAAACGUACAAUUAAAUUAAAUUAAUAAAGACACACACAAAAAGAGAGAGGGGUUAUAAGUUUUAGAUGACCAUCAACAAAUCUGAUCAAGAAAAACGAGUUUUAUCUUAUUCUAUCUCUCUCACUUGCGUCUCGUGUUGGCUUUAUAGAAGAAAAACAGAGGAAGAGGAAGAAGGAGAAAGAAAGGUGGUAAUGUCGGCGGAAAACAAAACUAAAAAGAACGCAAAAGUCAAAUUGUUGUUUUUGGGAACAUAUCAAAAAGUUAUUAAAAGGUACUAAUAUUUGUGUUAUUGGAAGGG
rnacentral:lncRNA from 1 species